GACGAACGCUGGCGGCGUGCUUAACACAUGCAAGUCGAACGGAAAGGCCCUGCUUUUGUGGGGUGCUCGAGUGGCGAACGGGUGAGUAACACGUGAGUAACCUGCCCUUGACUUUGGGAUAACUUCAGGAAACUGGGGCUAAUACCGGAUAGGAGCUCCUGCUGCAUGGUGGGGGUUGGAAAGUUUCGGCGGUUGGGGAUGGACUCGCGGCUUAUCAGCUUGUUGGUGGGGUAGUGGCUUACCAAGGCUUUGACGGGUAGCCGGCCUGAGAGGGUGACCGGCCACAUUGGGACUGUGAUACGGCCCAGACUCCUACGGGAGGCAGCAGUGGGGAAUAUUGCACAAUGGGCGGAAGCCUGAUGCAGCAACGCCGCGUGCGGGAUGACGGCCUUCGGGUUGUAAACCGCUUUCGCCUGUGACGAAGCGUGAGUGACGGUAAUGGGUAAAGAAGCACCGGCUAACUACGUG
rnacentral:rRNA from 1 species